GUGAGUUACUUUAAAGGUGCAACACAAUUUGUGAACUGUAUGGACGAAGAAUCUUUUACAGAGUCAUUGACACUUUCUACCAUAGCAAUAUAUCAGUGAACGCGACAAACACUCUACCACUUCGAGGCCGUAACUCCUUUCUAAAACAUUAACCUUCAUUACACAGUCGAAUCUUGGCAUUUUUCCGACAAUCAAAUAAACGCCGUAUGCGUUUCAUAGGACGCUCACGAUGCAAACAUGAUGGGAAAGUCCGUAGUAGAUGUUCUCGGCGACGGUUACCGAAUCGUUUUGGACAGUCUCGGGCUGACCGAGAACUUUUAUCCGUUUCCUGGUCACCGUUUUCGGCGGCUUCCCCGGAAACUUGGACCUUCCCAUGUUCACACUUUUCAACGAUCAACCUCAACCUCACAACGAAAUUCUGUUUCCAUUUUACGUGAUUUUGCCCAGCCGAGGUGCCUCAACCGAACACCAACGAAUAUUUAACACACACGAAACUUGCAACCUUCGUCGAUCAUCGGUUACAUUCGGACGAAUUCGUCAAUGACCGCGAAAUACGCGCGUACUGUCAAACCAAAACUUACUAAUAUUAAGAUGAGAUAUACCCCGUUUAACGUCCUCUGUGAACUGUCAAAUCGUGAACGAAUAAACAACCUGAAAGAACGAAAA